rnacentral:tRNA from 3 species
GCGCGUGUAGCUCAGUGGUAGAGCAUAGACCUUAUAAGUCUAGGGUCGGAGGUUCGAUCCCUCCCACGCGCACCU